rnacentral:rRNA from 1 species
CGCGUGAGGAUCUGCCCUUAGGAUGGGGACAACGACUGGAAACGGUCGCUAAUACCCAAUGUGCCGAGAGGUGAAAACUUUAGUGCCUGAGGAUGAACUCGCGUCUGAUUAGCUAGUUGGUAGUGUAAUGGACUACCAAGGCGACGAUCAGUAGCUGGUCUGAGAGGAUGAUCAGCCACACUGGGACUGAGACACGGCCCAGACUCCUACGGGAGGCAGCAGUGGGGAAUUUUCCGCAAUGGGCGAAAGCCUGACGGAGCAACGCCGCGUGAGGGACGAAGGUCUGUGGAUUGUAAACCUCUUUUCUCUAGGAAGAAGAACUGACGGUACUAGAGGAAUCAGCAUCGGCUAACUCCGUGCCAGCAGCCGCGGUAAUACGGAGGAUGCAAGCGUUAUCCGGAAUUAUUGGGCGUAAAGCGUCCGUAGGCGGUUUUACAAGUCUGCUGUUAAAGCGUGCAGCUUAACUGCAUAAUGGCGGUGGAAACUGUAAGACUAGAGUGUAGUAGGGGUAGAGGGAAUUCCCAGUGUAGCGGUGAAAUGCGUAGAUAUUGGGAAGAACACCGGUGGCGAAAGCGCUCUACUGGGCUACAACUGACGCUGAUGGACGAAAGCUAGGGGAGCGAAA